rnacentral:rRNA from 1 species
AGAGUUUGAUCCUGGCUCAGGAUGAACGCUAGCGGCAGGCUUAACACAUGCAAGUCGAGGGGCAUCACGAGUAGCAAUACUUGGUGGCGACCGGCGCAAGGGUGCGUAACGCGUGAGCAACAUGCCCGUAUCAGGGGGAUAAUCCAGGGAAACUUGGUCUAAUACCCCAUAGCAAUUGAAGGAGGCAUCUUCUUUGAUUUAAAGCUUUGGUGGAUACGGAUUGGCUCGCGUGACAUUAGCUAGAUGGUAAGGUAACGGCUUACCAUGGCUACGAUGUCUAGGGGUUCUGAGAGGAAGGUCCCCCACACUGGAACUGAGACACGGUCCAGACUCCUACGGGAGGCAGCAGUGAGGAAUAUUGGACAAUGGAUGGAAAUCUGAUCCAGCCAUGCCGCGUGCAGGAAGACGGCCCUAUGGGUUGUAAACUGCUUUUAUAUGGGAGCAAUAAGACCUACGUGUAGGUCGAUGAGAGUACCAUAUGAAUAAGCACCGGCUAACUCCGUGCCAGCAGCCGCGGUAAUACGGAGGGUGCAAGCGUUAUCCGGAUUUAUUGGGUUUAAAGGGUGCGUAGGCGGUUUGAUAAGUCAGCGGUGAAAUAUUUCAGCUUAACUGGAAGGGUGCCGUUGAUACUGUCGAGCUUGAAUUUAGUUGCUGUGGGUGGAAUGUGUGGUGUAGCGGUGAAAUGCAUAGAUAUCACACAGAAUAUCGAUUGCGAAGGCAGCUCACAAAGCUAAUAUUGACGCUGAUGCACGAAAGUGUGGGGAUCAAACAGGGAUUAGAUACCCUGGUUAGUCCACACUGUAAACGAUGAUAACUCGCUGUCGGCGAUACACAGUCGGUGGCCAAGCGAAAGCGAUAAGUUAUUCCACCUGGGGGAGUACGACCGCAAGGUUGAAACUCCAAGGAAUUGACGG